rnacentral:rRNA from 1 species
UCCGUGCCAGCAGCCGCGGUAAUACGGAGGGUGCGAGCGUUAAUCGGAAUUACUGGGCGUAAAGCGCAUGCAGGUGGUUUGUUAAGUCAGAUGUGAAAGCCCGGGGCUCAACCUCGGAACUGCAUUUGAAACUGGCAGACUAGAGUACUGUAGAGGGGGGUAGAAUUUCAGGUGUAGCGGUGAAAUGCGUAGAGAUCUGAAGGAAUACCGGUGGCGAAGGCGGCCCCCUGGACAGAUACUGACACUCAGAUGCGAAAGCGUGGGGAGCAAACAGGAUUAGAUACCCUGGUAGUCCACGCUGUAAACGAUGUCUACUUGGAGGUUGUGGCCUUGAGCCGUGGCUUUCGGAGCUAACGCGUUAAGUAGACCGCCUGGGGAGUACGGUCGCAAGAUUAAAACUCAAAUGAAUUGACGGGGGCCCGCACAAGCGGUGGAGCAUGUGGUUUAAUUCGAUGCAACGCGAAGAACCUUACCUACUCUUGACAUCCAGAGAAUCUAGCGGAGACGCUGGAGUGCCUUCGGGAACUCUGAGACAGGUGCUGCAUGGCUGUCGUCAGCUCGUGUUGUGAAAUGUUGGGUUAAGUCCCGCAACGAGCGCAACCCUUAUCCUUGUUUGCCAGCGAGUAAUGUCGGGAACUCCAGGGAGACUGCCGGUGAUAAACCGGAGGAAGGUGGGGACGACGUCAAGUCAUCAUGGCCCUUACGAGUAGGGCUACACACGUGCUACAAUGGCGCAUACAGAGGGCGGCCAACUUGCGAAAGUGAGCGAAUCCCAAAAAGUGCGUCGUAGUCCGGAUUGGAGUCUGCAACUCGACUCCAUGAAGUCGGAAUCGCUAGUAAUCGUGGAUCAGAAUGCCACGGUGAAUACGUUCCCGGGCCUUGUACACACCGCCCGUCACACCAUGGGAGUGGGCUGCAAAAGAAGUGGGUAGUUUAACCUUCGGGAGGACGCUCACCACUUUGUGGUUCAUGACUGGGGUGAAGUCGUAACAAGGUAGCGCUAGGGGAACCUGGCGCUGGAUCACCUCCUUAUACGAUGAU